rnacentral:rRNA from 1 species
GAUGAACGCUGGCGGCGUGCCUAAUACAUGCAAGUCGAGCGAACGGACGAGAAGCUUGCUUCUCUGAUGUUAGCGGCGGACGGGUGAGUAACACGUGGAUAACCUACCUAUAAUACUGGGAUAACUUCGGGAAACCGUAGCUAAUACCGGAUAAUAUUUUGAACCGCAUGGUUCAAAAGUGAAAGACGGUCUUGAUGUCACGUAUAGAUGGAUCCGAGCUGCAUUAGCGAGUUGGUAAGGUAACGGCUUACCAAGGCAACGAUGCAUAGCCGACCUGAGAGGGUGAUCGGCCACACUGGAGCUGAGACACGGUCCAGACUCCUACGGGAGGCAGCAGUAGGGAAUCUUCCGCAAUGGGCGAAAGCCUGACGGAGCAACGGCGCGUGAGUGAUGAAGGUCUUCGGAUCGUAAAACUCUGUUAUUAGGGAAGAACAUAUGUGUAAGUAACUGUGCACAUCUUGACGGUACCUAAUCAGAAAGCCACGGCUAACUACGUG